UACACUUCAACAACAACAUCCAAAAAACUCCCAACAUCAAAAUAUAGCAACAUCACUAAUACCGAUCCCAAAACACACACACACACACACAUACACACAAAACGAAGAAGAAUUGUAGAUCGUAAUUGAAGAACUUACAGGGAGGUGAAAAGUCGAAAUCGAAGCAGCACAUUUACGUGCUUAACACGUGAAACAAAAGGACUUCGUUUCGAAUCGAUAAAUGCGAUAACUUGAAUUAAAAUGCACCGCUUCAAAUUUGUCCUAAUACACAAUGCAUGUAAAAAUUGCAUAAAUCCAUCGGGAAAAAAUUAAAAUUGUUAGAAUAGUCAAAAUUUGCAGAAUUUUACACACACGCACACGGAGUAGAUAUUUAUGAAUAGGAAAAUGCCGUACCUGAUAAAGAUUAAGAAAGUGAAUCUGGCGAUCUGAAUAAUUGAAUUGUAUAGGGAUAGAUCUGAGAGCGAUAAGAGCAAAAAAAGAAACCCUAAAUUUGUUUGUUGGAUUCAAUUCAAUGGGGAGAAUUC
rnacentral:lncRNA from 1 species